CAUGGUUUUAUUUGGGGUUAGGUCAACUACAAGGUCAACAUGUAUUUUGUGUCCUCAUGGUUUUAUUUGGGGUCACGUCAACUACAAGGUCAAUAUGUAUUUAAUUUGUGUCCUCAUGGUUUUAUUUGGGGUCAGGUCAACUUCAAGGUCAACAUGUAUUUAAUUUGUCCUCAUGGUUUUUGUCAACUACAAGGUCAACAUGUAUUUUGUGUCCUCAUGGUUUUGGUCAACUACAAGGUCAACAUUAUGUAUUUUGUGUCCUCAUGGUUUUAUUUGGGGUCAGGUCAACUACAAGGUCAAUAUGUAUUUAAUUUGUGUCCUCAUGGUUUUAUUUGGGGUCAGGUCAACUACAAGGUCAGUAUGUAUGUAUUUUGUGUAAUGGUUUUGGUCAACGUGUAUGUAUUUUGUGUCCUCGUGGUUUUGGUCAACUACAAGGUCAACAUGUAUGUAUUGUGUCCUCAUGGUUUUUGUCAACUACAAAGUCAACAUUAUGUAUAUUGUGUCCUCAUGGUUUUAUUUGGGGUCAGGUCAACUACAAGGUCAACAUGUAUGUAUUUUGUGUCCUCAUGGUUUUGGUCAACUACAAGGUCAACAUGUAUGUAUUUUGUGUCCUCAUGGUUUUGGUCAACUACAAGGUCAACAUGUAUGUAUUUUAUGUCCUCAUGGUUUUAUUUGUGGUCAGGUCAACUACAAGGUCAACAUGUAUGUAUUUUGAGUCCUCCAUGGUUUUGGUCAACAUUGUGUAUUUUGUGUCCUCAUGGUUUUGGUCAACUAACAAAGUCAUCAUUAUGUAUUUUGUGUCCUCAUGGUUUUGGUCAACUACAAGGUCAACAUGUAUGUAUUGUGUCCUCAUGGUUUUGGUCAACUACAAGGUCAACAUGAUGUAUUUUGUGUCAUGGUUUUGGUCAACAUGUAAAUGUAUUUUGGUCAAUAUUUAUUGUGUCCUCGUGGUUUUGAUCAACUACAUGGUCAGUAUGUAUGUAUUUUGUGUCCUCAUGGUUUUGGUCAACUACAUGGUCAGUAUGUAUGUAUUUUGUGUCCUCAUGGUUUUGGUUAACAUUUUUGUAAUGUAUAUGUAUUUUGUGUCAGUUUUGGUCAACUACAAGGUCGACAUGUAUGUGGGGUUUGGUCAACUACAAGGUCGACAUGCAUGUGGGGUUUGGUCAACUACAAGGUCGACAUGUAUUUGAUUUGUGUCCUCUUGGUUAACUACAAGCUCCUCUUUCACAUAACUCAAUUGUAGGUUCUCUUUUGGUCUCAUCCCAGAAAACCUGAUGGUCGUCUAUCAGCUGGAUGAGCUUGCGCAUCUUCCUCCGACAUCUCAUCUUCUACCUUGGCCUCCAAACCACCAACAAGUUGCUCUGAUUUAUAGUUUUGGUUGCUGGGUUGUGUGUUUUGACUCCUCGUGUGCGUCCAGUAUGUCCUUCACAAAGCUAUGGCUGAUUUCAGUAGGUGGUUCUUCAUCCUCAAAAAUAGGUAUUUAGUGUGUAUCCUCAAAACAAGUCUUCAGAAGAUUAGGACCAUUGGGGUCUUGGGGAUUUCUAACUCCACUGACAGUUGGUCCUUUUUGGUCUCCUACGGGCGUUUCCUCUCCGCUGCGGGCGUGCCUCCGCAAGAGAUCUGCAAUCAACACACCUGCCCGUGAUGAGCGACCAGCCUUCAUAAGCCAGCGUGUCUUAAGAUCCAGUGCCAGAACGUAGCUUCUUGUACCCAGAACACUUUCCAACGUCCUUCCUGGCCCUCGAGCUGUGUGUCUCGUCUACCUGGACCCCCUUUGGAUUCCCUCUUUUCUUCCUGGACUUCGACCUCACGCCUGCCCACUGACCACGACGCCUCGCUCCUGUCCUCAACCAUCCACCUCCCCUCUGACGUCCGAGCCUGUGUUUUCCCCUUUUGGACUUUUGCCUCAUUCUCAACACGCACACUCAACGCCCUCUGGUGACCACGCUCAGAUAAUACUUACACAUAGUCACACUACAUCUCUUUAAGCUAA